rfam:Phytophthora infestans T30-4 supercont1.25 genomic scaffold, whole genome shotgun sequence.
GGGCGCAUAGCGCAGUGGUAGCGCGUCCGCUUCGCAAGCAGAAUGGGCCCCGGUCAAUCCCCGGUGUGUCCA